ACGGUCCCCCUUGUGGUCGGUGUACAGGUGGUGCAUGGCUGUCGUCAGCUCGUGUCGUGAGAUGUUGGGUUAAGUCCCGCAACGAGCCGCAACCCUUGUCUUAUGUUGCCAGCACGUGAUGGUAGGGGACUCGUAAGAGACUGCCGGGGUCAACUCGGAGGAAGGUGGGGACGACGUCAAGUCAUCAUGCCCCUUAUGUCCAGGGCUUCACACAUGCUACAAUGGCCAGUACAGAGGGCUGCGAGACCGUGAGGUGGAGCGAAUCCCUUAAAGCUGGUCUCAGUUCGGAUCGGGGUCUGCAACUCGACCCCGUGAAGUCGGAGUCGCUAGUAAUCGCAGAUCAGCAACGCUGCGGUGAAUACGUUCCCGGGCCUU
rnacentral:rRNA from 1 species